AUGAUGCAAUGGUUCGCGAGAGAGGUGGCAAGAAGACUGCUCCAGCAACAACCUUUAAUUUCUCAUACCGGAGAGGAGGAACGGGGAGCAUGCCAUUCAUCGGUGAUGUUGACUACACCAGAGCCGGACGCCACAAUUGAUAGGCAUCCAGCACAAGACAUUGGAGAGAGAGGUCAGAGGACAGGGAAGCAUGGUGGCCGGGGCUCGUCCCCACUUGUGCUGGAUGCGAGGGUAGCGGGAGUGCCCGGACCUAUGGAGGAAGAAGCAGACUUCGGUGGAGAGAACGGAGGGUGUCGGUGGCGAGCACAGAGGGCGUCGGUGUACUGCAAGCCGCCAUCGGUCGAGCCGCAUGCCGUCCUGGGCUGA
rnacentral:rRNA from 1 species